rnacentral:rRNA from 1 species
GUGAGGAAUAUUGGUCAAUGGACGGAAGUCUGAACCAGCCAUGCCGCGUGCAGGAAUAAGGUCCUAUGGAUUGUAAACUGCUUUUAUUCGGGAAUAAACCUCUUUACGUGUAGGGAGCUGAAGGUACCGAAGGAAUAAGCACCGGCUAACUCCGCGCCAGCAGCCGCGGUAAUACGGAGGGUGCAAGCGUUAUCCGGAAUCAUUGGGUUUAAAGGGUCCGCAGGCGGGCUAUCAAGUCAGAGGUGAAAUCCCACAGCUUAACUGUGGAACUGCCUUUGAAACUGAUGGUCUUGAAUUAGGUGGGCGUUGGCGGAAUAUGACAUGUAGCGGUGAAAUGCAUAGAUAUGUCAUGGAACACCGAAAGCGAAGGCAGCUAACGAUACUUAUAUUGACGCUCAUGGACGAAAGCGUGGGUAGCGAACAGGAUUAGAAACCCUGGUAGUCC